ACAGCCAUCCAUUUCCUUCCAUUCUUUUCUUUUCUUCUCAUCUCAGUGCUCAAGAAAAUCUGGAGCCUUCUAAAGGGAGUUAAAUUUACAAAAAUGUCCCUGACUCUAAACGCUAAUAACUCAUUCGUUAUAACUUCGUUUCAUGAACAGUUUGCACCUAUGCACUCAUAGGGCCGUGCUCUAUCCAAAUUUGACAAGAAAUAAUUUAAUAUGUAUAAGUAUAAAAUACGACCUCGUAUAAUUACGUUAUACCCACUAAGGUCAUUUCCAUCUUUUUCACUUAUCGAUAAAUUUUACGACGUAAAUUAUAAUAAUUUUUGGUAACAAAAUUUUAAAAUUUCUCGAUUAAAUUUUUCAUAACCAUAAAUCGAUUUAUUUCCAAUUGUCUCCACAUAUUCAUAUAUUUAAAUUUUCAAGGUAUUACAUUCACCCCCCGUUAAAAUAAAUAUCGUCCCUGAGAUUUCAACCAUCGAGUUACAAAAAAAAUUAGAACUAUUGCCACCAUUCCCUUUAUAGUGAAUAAAAUCAUAAUCUUAGUCUACGAUUUGAUUCAGGCUCCAAAAAUAAGCAACAAACGAAUAAUAAUUGUGAUUCUCACUCGCAUUCUCAAAUUCCCAGCCACACUCAUUGGCAGAAUAAAUAUCAGAAAUUCUAGCUAGACCCAUUUGCAAAAUAAAAGUCCAUGUUAAGCCACAGUCCUUGCAGCCUAAAAUAAAUAAUAAAUUAUCAAACUACAUCUACCGUUGGUUAGAUAAAUACUAACAUUAUAAUCACAAUCAUUGGUAAACCAUUUACCAUCAUUGACUAUACGUUGUCAUUACCACAAUUCUUCCACAAAAUUUCUAGCCACAAUCACUGGCAAUACCCAACAUCAGAAUUUUUUUUCCAUAUUCAUCAUUAGCAAAGUAAAUAUCAUACAUUUCAGCCAUAACCAUUAUCGGCCAAAGAAAUGUCAGAAAUGCAAGCCAUAAUCAUCGGUGGCUAAAUACAUAUCACACUCACUGGGUAAUGGAAAGAAAUUUAAAACCAAAUCCGCAAUACCAUUAACAUUGAACGAAAUCAAAAUUUAUUCUAUGAUUUCAUU
rnacentral:lncRNA from 1 species